rnacentral:rRNA from 1 species
GGAGUUUGAUCAUGGCUCAGGACGAACGCUGGCGGCGUGCCUAAUACAUGCAAGUCGAGCGCGGGAAGCAAGUAAUCACCCUUCGGGGUGUGAGCUUGUGGAACGAGCGGCGGACGGGUGAGUAACACGUGGGCAACCUGCCUGCAAGAUUGGGAUAACUCCGGGAAACCGGAGCUAAUACCGAAUAAUACGUUCCAUCACAUGGUGGAACGUUGAAAGAUGGCUUCGGCUAUCACUUGCAGAUGGGCCCGCGUCGCAUUAGCUAGUUGGUGGGGUAAUGGCCUACCAAGGCGACGAUGCGUAGCCGACCUGAGAGGGUGAUCGGCCACACUGGGACUGAGACACGGCCCAGACUCCUACGGGAGGCAGCAGUAGGGAAUCUUCCGCAAUGGACGAAAGUCUGACGGAGCAACGCCGCGUGAGUGAUGAAGGUUUUCGGAUCGUAAAACUCUGUUGUUAGGGAAGAACAAGUACCGUUCGAAUAGGGCGGUGCCAUGACGGUACCUAACCAGAAAGCCCCGGCUAACUACGUGCCAGCAGCCGCGGUAAUACGUAGGGGGCAAGCGUUGUCCGGAAUUAUUGGGCGUAAAGCGCUCGCAGGCGGUCUUUUAAGUCUGAUGUGAAAGCCCACGGCUUAACCGUGGAGGGUCAUUGGAAACUGGAGGACUUGAGUACAGAAGAGGAGAGUGGAAUCCCACGUGUAGCGGUGAAAUGCGUAGAGAUGUGGAGGAACACCAGNGGCGAANNCGACUCUCUGGUCUGUAACUGACGCUGAGNAGCGAAAGCGUGGGGAGCGAACAGGAUUAGAUACCCUGGUAGUCCACGCCGUAAACGAUGAGUGCUAGGCGUUAGGGGGUUUCCGCCCCUUA